GUGCUCAAGGUUGAGCAACACGCGCGUGACGUUAGUACGUGUUAGUUGUGAUCACAGUUUUCCUCUUUCGUCAUUCUAAUUAAAUUUGAAAAGCUGAAUCUUUACGAAACCAUUUGACAGGAGAGAGAGAGAGAUAAAGUUACCCCAGCCUUUCCCAAGAAACCCCACUAGUUAUCCAUCUCCAUCACAUGCUAAUGACGGCCAUCUUAACGCUUUUAUGUAAUUAAAGAUCAAAAAUGUAUUCCAUACCAAAGGAAAAUAUUAGAAUGAAAACGGGCGUCUUAAGAAACGCGGCUACUCAAACACCGAGGGGGCAAUGUGACGCUGAAAAUUUUCAUAGCGGAAGCCUAAUAAGUCUAGAAAAUCAUCUAACUUGGACGGUUUGUUUUAAUGAUGAAGAAGCAGCGGUGGACAUUAUAAGUCCACAAGUUCAGUUAGGGCAACGUUAUAGUGAUAUAAAGAAUACCUUUACUGAUCAAGAACUGGCUGAAAUAAGUACAAAAGAAAGUGGCAGCUUACAUCGCCAGCGCACAGAAAACGGUGUCGGGUUUCUGCACAACAGAGCAACGUUACCAGGCCUAACGUCAAACCACUUUAAAGUCGCCAGUUCCCAGGAAGAAUGCCACAAACCAGACCAACUCUCGCUAGAUGACAUCCACAUAACAAUGCUAUCCGUAGAAGACUCCAGUCCUCAACAGUGUUCUGCUCCAAACUUGAUGGUAGAGGAAGGUGACAAUGUGUAUACCGUUUGUGGAGAAACGGUAAAAAAUACAACAGACCUCCAAAAUGAGAUUAAAAAUGACACGAAUAACGUAAACCCAGGUGUAGUUACAAGUGUCGGUCCGGUAAUACUGUACCCACAAUCGCCAUCUUUAGAGAAGAAACGCAGAUGGGUCCAGGCCGUUUCAGAAUCGUGUUCUUUGGUUUUCUUUAUUGGAUUUGUCAUCUUAUCCAUCUUAACCCCGUGGUUAUGCAUUCCGUCAUAUGUAAUUGACACCAAGGAACAAACCACUUUUCAGAUCCUAAUGUUUAGUCUGGUUGUUGUCUCGUUUGGUUUACUCUUCGUCGGUUGUAUUAUUGGUAACUUUUACUGGCGUUACGAAGAAAAAAGCAAAACCUGGCGUCCAAUUCUCCACUGUGGUAAAGGACCAAACCAUAAUUGGGGGUGGUUCUUCUCAAGUGAACCUACCAGACUCAAAGAGGGAGAAAUUGUCUAACAGAGACUUUUUUUCCUCAAACUGAAAUCAAACCAAUAUUUUUGUAUCACCAUAGAAGCUCCAUACAAUUAAAACAAAAAAUACGUUAGAAAUACCUUUUUCUGAAAAAAAUAGCAGUCUUUAAUGUUUAGUUCUUAUGCAAGUUUAUCGUUUUAAGGGCAUGUAUUUUUUUACCCUAAAUUGUGUUAACAUAUUGGUUCUUCGGAAAGGGAAUUCCAAGGGACUUUGGAAUGUUCAAAUAGCCUGGCUAGCAGUAUAAUUGCUGACUUUUCUAAUUUUUUAAAAUCUUGACAAAAAUCCCCCUGUAAUCAUCUGAGCAAGAUGCAAUGGUAUAACGUUCAGAAGUAAUAUUUAAAAAUUUUUCUUCUCAUUCACACUAUUAGAGUUUAAACUGAUUAUUGACUAACCAGGCAACAAAUCACUGUUUCAUCUCUCUGAAAACACUGAUGAUGUAGAAUCCAGUACUUAUUGGAGGAUUGGCAAAUAAGACACAUAGUACAAGAAAGACGCAUAAUACGUGACAAGGAAAAGUUGGUCCCAAAACAAGAAAGAAUAGGAAGAUGAUGUACUAAACCACUUCUUUCUGAUUGUUCGUCUGUUUCUUCGAUAUCAUCAUCUGGAAUAAACCUUUUCCAAUUAGCUGAAGGUUCACCACUGCCUCCUGACUUACAAAGAAGAUGCAACUUUAUCUAGAUGAAAUAAAAUUAGGGAAUAGGGAAGAUUUACAAGAAAAGUACUUAUGUCAAGAAACUGGAAUUUUUAAAAGGUCUUUUUAUAAUCCUAUUAAGUACUAAAACAUUAAAUUUAUCAAUUUUUCAACAAGAAGAUCAA
rnacentral:misc_RNA from 1 species